CGCGUAGGCGGUCAUGCAAGUCAGGUGUGAAAUCCCCAGGCUUAACCUGGGAACUGCGCUUGAAACUGCAUAGCUUGAGGCCGGGAGAGGAAAGUGGAAUUCCUGGUGUAGCGGUGAAAUGCGUAGAUAUCAGGAGGAACACCGGUGGCGAAAGGCGGCUUUCUGGACCGGGUUCUGACGCUGAAGCGCGAAAGCGUGGGGGAGCAAACGG
rnacentral:rRNA from 1 species